ACUCCUACGGGAGGCAGCAGUGGGGAAUUUUGGACAAUGGGCGAAAGCCUGAUCCAGCAAUGCCGCGUGAGUGAAGAAGGCCUUCGGGUUGUAAAGCUCUUUUGUCAGGGAAGAAACGGUGAGAGCUAAUAUCUCUUGCUAAUGACGGUACCUGAAGAAUAAGCACCGGCUAACUACGUGCCAGCAGCCGCGGUAAUACGUAGGGUGCAAGCGUUAAUCGGAAUUACUGGGCGUAAAGCGUGCGCAGGCGGUUUUGUAAGUCUGAUGUGAAAUCCCCGGGCUCAACCUGGGAAUUGCAUUGGAGACUGCAAGGCUAGAAUCUGGCAGAGGGGGGUAGAAUUCCACGUGUAGCAGUGAAAUGCGUAGAUAUGUGGAGGAACACCGAUGGCGAAGGCAGCCCCCUGGGUCAAGAUUGACGCUCAUGCACGAAAGCGUGGGGAGCAAACAGGAUUAGAAACCCCAGUAGUCCCAUGAU
rnacentral:rRNA from 1 species